AAAGGGUCCAAUCUAAUUCUGCCUGAUGUUCUAUUCAUGUAGUCUCGCUUUUGGACCAGAACAAAGCCCCAUCUUUUAUUAUCCUUGUGCUUGUGUUUAAUUACCAAAGCAAAGCACACGAGAAACGUAAAAGAACAACU